GCUUUUUCUCCUGCUGUACCUGGGUGUACCCGGGUGUGUCCCCGGCGGGACGAGCGGAGGCGCCGACCCGGAGCGAGCGGGCACCGAACACCGGACACGGGCACCGAGGUCUGUUCCUGGGAAGGCUUUUUCCCCUGGGAAGGUUCCAGCAGCACCUUGGUGCCUUCAGGGUUCCUGUUCAGAUCCUCAUACAAGGUUGGUAUAUUGGAAAUCCUGCAGAGCCCAGCCUCUUCCCCUUCCAGCCCCAUCCAGAGAUGUGCCUGAAACAAAGGAACAGAAAACUAUCUGAAAGGAAAAUGUUUAAAAUGCCGUGGUGCCCGUGGUCCUGUCCCUGCAGCACCAGGCCUGCUGUCCCCAGUGUCCCCAUAGAGCCCCUGCCACCUCCUCAGCACCGACCGUGCUCUCCACAUUGACUGCAUCAGGCUGCUCCUAUCGACGUUGUUAAGCUCAGGUUUAACUUGCAUAACAUCACAGAUCCUCCUCCAAAGCCAAUGCAUUAAUUGCUGGGGAAGAACAGGAAAACAUAAAGAGCCUUUCAAGGGAACAAUUUUCUAAAAGUCAGAAUCUGCAAAGCUUAUUUCUGAUAUCUCGAGUGCAAUGGAAAUAUUCAGCAAGGUAAGAAACUCCUGCUCCAGGGCUGAAAUCCUCUCUGCUCCUCCUGGAGAGGGAGAGAUUCAUGUCUUCAUUACAGUGAUCUACA